GGAACAGAUUGAAGAUUUUACCAUCCAAAACCCACAAAGAGAAAACUCCUACUGUGGUCUUCAGAAUUUCCAUUCAGCUGAUUUGCCUGCCAAGUCCAGUGACCAGUACCGCCGCUCCUGAUGGUGGGGAGCAUAUGGUACUGCUGUGAAUAGUUUUGCUCUCACUGCUGUGAAAUCCCACGCCUUCCUACAGAAUGUGUUUGGAGGAGCAAAUGAGCUCCCAGAAGAGUUUGACGUGCGUUCUUCAGCACUCUUCUCCUACUUUUCCCAGCGGCCUUGCAAGUUCUGCAGCCAUAUCUGCCAGCCCCUACCCUGUUCCGCUUGUUUCUGAGAGAGGAGUUCAAGAAAUGAAGAAUUCACCAUCUCCUCAAGGAAUGUACAGGCUCAUGGUGUAAAGAUACAAAUGAUCUUUUUUGGACACCCUCUGAGGACUAAAAGGAGCCAUGAAAUUCUGUGGCAGACAGAAAACACCACCUUUGGACAGCAUACUCUGCAAUUUCCCUCCUUCUAAGGGCUUGAAUGGUAAUUUUGGUGCUUGUCUGGUCUUUGAUAGCUCUAUGGGCCCUAGCCAGCCCAUAUGGUCUGAUUGAAUUCCCACUGUUGUUUUUCUUUGUCUCUGGCUAGCUUCAAAGGAUACUGUAGUCAUGAAUUAACAUUGUCCCCUUGGUAAGCAAUUGUAAUGUUGGUUGCAGUAUCAUUGGUGCUUGUCCUCACUGCUUCCUUUGGACAAUGUAGACAGUUAUUGAUGUUUGGCACUUCUUAUAGGUGGUUGGCAGCUAUGUGAAUACUGUAACUUACAAUAGGCUUUUCCACAACAUUGUCAUGGUGUCCAUGAAUUUGGAAGGAUACAAGGACUGCCAUCCCGCUUUUUGCAGUCAUGAUAUGUGCUGACAAAAAUGGGUCAUAUUUUUCUCUGGAUUUAGCAGAAUAUUUGUAUAAUUAGAAAUGUAAACAAUUCCAGUUUUUCUUGUAUAGUUCCAGCCAAUGAGUAUUAUGGAAAAAUCAGUUUUCUAUCGAACUUACUUAUCCCAAAGAAAAAGUAUAGACUCUUCAAAAGCGCUCAAACAAGGCUUAGACUUUACUGCUUACUUUCAGCCUUUGGCUGCUUUAAAAACUAAGCAUAAGAAAGCAUUUUAGCAGAAUACCUUAAGUGGGAGAAGGAUACUCCCCAAAGAACACAAGGGUAUUAAGCAUUGAAAAUGGCAAGAUUUGAUGGCCAGGGAAACAAAAUGUGGUGAACAUGGAAAUACAACUAUGAUAUCAUUCAUUUUUAAAAAACCCUUAUAGGCUCAGGUAACUUUCUCAGUACUAUCAGUCCCUUUGCAUCCUCUAAUGCAGUAUAUUUAUUAUUUCUUGAGUAUUUUGAAUUCCUUUAAUCCUCAUAACAACUCAAUGAGAUAGAAGCAAUUUUAACCCUCCUGUUUUUACAUAUUAGAAAACUGAGUUGGCAGGGCAUGGUGGCUCAUGCCUGUAAUCCCAGCACUUUGGGAGGCCGAGAUGGGUGGAUCACCUGAGGUCGGGAAUUCGAGACCAGCCUGACCAACAUGGAGAAAUCCUGUCUCUACUAAAACCUCAAAAUUAGCCAGGCAUGGUGGCACAUGCCUGUAAUCUCUGCUACUUGGGAGGCAAAGGCAGGAGAAUUGUUUGAACCUAGGAGGUGGAGGUUACGGUGAGCUAAGAUUGUGCCAUUGCACUUCAGCCUGGGCAACUAGAGCAAAACUCAUCUGAAAAAAAGAAAGAAGGAAAAACUGAGUCUCAGAAAGUUUAAUUAACUUGCCCAUGGUCACAGAAGGACAGAUGGCCACAGAGGGACAGAGGCAGAAGUAAUAUUCAAACACAGGGAGUCUUAGUGCUCUCAACUCCUACAACUGUUCCAUCUAAACUUUCAGUUCAAUAUGGUAGCCAUUAUGUAGCUAUUGAGGAGUGGAAAUGUGGCUAGUCUGAAUUCAGAUGGCUGUAAGUGUAAAACAAGAUUUUGAAGACCUGGUAUAAAAAAGACAAUAUAAAAUAUCUCAUUAUAGUUAUCUUAUAUUGAAUAAAUGUUAAAAUACUAC
rnacentral:lncRNA from 13 species